UACAGAGGGGGCAAGCGUUGUUCGGAAUUACUGGGCGUAAAGGGCGCGUAGGCGGCCCGCUAAGUCGAACGUGAAAUCCCCGGGCUCAACCCGGGAACUGCGUCCGAUACUGGCGGGCUUGAAUCCGGGAGAGGGAUGCGGAAUUCCAGGUGUAGCGGUGAAAUGCGUAGAUAUCUGGAGGAACACCGGUGGCGAAGGCGGCAUCCUGGACCGGCAUUGACGCUGAGGCGCGAAAGCGUGGGGAGCGAACAGG
rnacentral:rRNA from 1 species